rnacentral:rRNA from 1 species
CCUACGGGGGGCAGCAGUGAGGAAUAUUGGUCAAUGGACGAGAGUCUGAACCAGCCAAGUAGCGUGAAGGAUGACUGCCCUAUGGGUUGUAAACUUCUUUUAUAUGGGAAUAAACUGUUCCACGUGUGGGAUUUUGUAUGUACCAUAUGAAUAAGGCUCGGCUAACUCCGUGCCAGCAGCCGCGGUAAUACGGAGGAUCCGAGCGUUAUCCGGAUUUAUUGGGUUUAAAGGGAGCGUAGGUGGAUUGUUAAGUCAGUUGUGAAAGUUUGCGGCUCAACCGUAAAAUUGCAGUUGAAACUGGCAGUCUUGAGUACAGUAGAGGUGGGCGGAAUUCGUGGUGUAGCGGUGAAAUGCUUAGAUAUCACGAAGAACUCCGAUUGCGAAGGCAGUUCACUGGACUGCAACUGACACUGAGGCUCGAAAGUGUGGGUAUCAAACAGGAUUAGAUACCCGAGUAGUC